UGUAAACAUAUUCCGCGUGUGUGAUGUGGGGCGUGGUGCGUGUGCUGCCCACUUCCUACUAUAACAAUAACAUUAAAUAUGAAGUUGAGAGGCAGUAGGUGAGGACCUACGUGCAUAUUUAUUGGUGUAAAGCGUGCAGUGUUCUUCGCUGAGCCAGUGUGGCGUGGCGGGAGUUGCAGAGGAGUGAGGCAUGGUCGCUGGUCAUGGCAGGACACACUAGCCGAGUCACCAAGUGUUGCUGAUGGCGGGAGUGUAGCAGUAGCCAAUGGAGCUUACUAGCAGAGACCAGACCUGUGUUAUCCUCUGGGGAAGGAGUUUAUAAGUCAUCUCUGUCUCUUGAUGCAAAGCUGUUGAGUCUGUUGUGUACGGCAAACAGAGGCACGGCAGGCUUUAAAAUGAAGAGAUUACUCCCCCAAGUUCAUCGGAGCAUGAUAAGGUAAGCCGAGGAGAGACGGUGUUGUGCAAUCCAUUGGUGUAAAUCCAAGGAAAUUCCACUCUUGAAGAUUUUUUUUUUUUUUUUUUUUUUUUUGGGUGGGCUGGGUAUGGGGACGGUUUUCUAAUGGGAACCCUGAUGUGGACGAGAGGUAGAGGCAGGACUUGGCGGUGUCUGGGCUUUGUUACCUAAUCUUAGCCAUCAGAAGCAUCACUCCGUGGAAUCCAUUAUCUG